ACGGAAGGCAGCAGUAGGGAAUAUUGCACAAUGGGGGAAACCCUGAUGCAGCGACGCCGCGUGAGUGAUGAAGUAUUUCGGUACGUAAAGCUCUAUCAGCAGGGAAGAUAAUGACGGUACCUGACUAAGAAGCCCCGGCUAACUACGUGCCAGCAGCCGCGGUAAUACGUAGGGGGCAAGCGUUAUCCGGAUUUACUGGGUGUAAAGGGAGCGUAGACGGCAAGGCAAGUCUGAUGUGAAAUCCCGGGGCUCAACCCCGGUACUGCAUUGGAAACUGUCUAGCUAGAGUGCAGGAGAGGUAAGUGGAAUUCCUAGUGUAGCGGUGAAAUGCGUAGAUAUUAGGAGGAACACCAGUGGCGAAGGCGGCUUACUGGACUGUAACUGACGUUGAGGCUCGAAAGCGUGGGGAGCAAACAGGAUUAGAUACCCUGGUA
rnacentral:rRNA from 1 species